rnacentral:rRNA from 1 species
AACAAACGCUGGCGGCGUGCCUAAUACAUGCAAGUCGAACGGGGAAAGCUUUCGGGUGAGUACUAGUGGCGCACGGGUGAGUAACGCGUGGAUAAUCUGCCUUAGAGUGGGGGAUAACUAGUCGAAAGAUUAGCUAAUACCGCAUAAGACCACAAGAACUGCGGUUCAAGGGGUCAAAGGUUUUUCGCUCUAAGAUGAGUCCGCGUAAGAUUAGCUAGUUGGUAGGGUAACGGCCUACCAAGGCGACGAUCUUUAACUGGUCUGAGAGGAUGAUCAGUCACACGGGAACUGAGACACGGUCCAGACUCCUACGGGAGGCAGCAGUAGGGAAUAUUGCACAAUGGAGGGAACUCUGAUGCAGCGACGCCGCGUGAGUGAUGAAGGCCUUCGGGUCGUAAAGCUCUGUCGCAGGGGAAUAACACAAUGAAGGUACCCUGUAAGAAAGGAUCGGCUAACUUCGUGCCAGCAGCCGCCGUAACAC